rnacentral:rRNA from 1 species
GACGAACGCUGGCGGCGUGCUUAACACAUGCAAGUCGAACGAUGAAGUGGAGCUUGCUCCACGGAUUAGUGGCGAACGGGUGAGGAACACGUGAGAAACCUGCCUCGGACUUUGGGAUAACAAAUGGAAACGUUUGCUAAUACCAAAUAACGUCGGAGAAUCACAUGAUUUUCUGACGAAAGGAAUUCCGGUUCGAGAGGGUCUCGCGGCCUAUCAGCUAGUUGGCGGGGUAAUGGCCCACCAAGGCAACGACGGGUAGCUGGUCUGAGAGGAUGGUCAGCCACACUGGGACUGAGACACGGCCCAGACUCCUACGGGAAGCAGCAGUGGGGAAUCUUGCGCAAUGGGCGAAAGCCUGACGCAGCAACGCCGCGUGCGGGAAGAAGGCUUUCGGGCUGUAAACCGCUUUCAGCAGGAACGAAAAUGACGGUACCUGCAGAAGAAGGAGCGGCCAACUAUGUGCCAGCAGCCGCGGUGAUACAUAGGCUUCAAGCGUUGUCCGGAUUUAUUGGGCGUAAAGAGUUCGUAGGCGGUCGAGUAAGUUGGGUGUGAAAAUUCUGGGCUUAACCCAGAGACGCCACCCAAUACUACUUAACUAGAGUUCGGUAGGGGAGAGGGGAAUUCCUGGUGUAGCGGUGAAAUGCGCAGAUAUUAGGAGGAACACCGGUGGCGAAGGCGCCUCUCCGGACCGAUACUGACGCUGAGGAACGAAAGCAUGGGUAGCAAACAGGAUUAGAUACCCUGGUAGUCCAUGCCGUAAACGGUGGGCACUAGGUGUGGGUUCCAAUUAACGGAAUCCGCGCCGUCGCUAACGCAUUAAGUGCCCCGCCUGGGGAGUACGGUCGCAAGACUA